rnacentral:rRNA from 1 species
UACAGAGGUCUCAAGCGUUGUUCGGAUUCAUUGGGCGUAAAGGGUGCGUAGGCGGCGCGGUAAGUCGGGUGUGAAAUCUCGGGGCUUAACUCCGAAACUGCAUUCGAUACUGCUGUGCUUGAGGACUGGAGAGGAGACUGGAAUUUACGGUGUAGCGGUGAAAUGCGUAGAUAUUGGGAAGAACACCGGUGGCGAAGGCGGUUGCCUGGGGCU